AUUGAACGCUGGCGGCAGGCCUAACACAUGCAAGUCGAGCGGAUGAAGGGAGCUUGCUCCUUGAUUCAGCGGCGGACGGGUGAGUAAUGCCUAGGAAUCUGCCUGUUAGUUGUUGAUAACGUCCUGAAACGGGCGCUAAUACCGCAUACGUCCUUAGGGAGAAAGUGUGGGAUCUUCGGACCUCACGCUAUCAGAUGAUCCUAGGUCGGAUUAGCUAGUUGGUGGGGUAAAGGCCUACCAAGGCGACGAUCCGUAACUGGUCUGAGAGGAUGAUCAGUCACACUGGAACUGAGACACGGUCCAGACUCCUACGGGAGGCAGCAGUGGGGAAUAUUGGACAAUGGGCGAAAGCCUGAUCCAGCCAUGCCGCGUGUGUGAAGAAGGUCUUCGGAUUGUAAAGCACUUUAAGUUGGGAGGAAGGGCAGUAAGUUAAUACCUUGCUGUUUUGACGUUACCAAAAGAAUAAGCACCGGCUAACUUCGUG
rnacentral:rRNA from 1 species